UACGAAGGGGGCUAGCGUUGCUCGGAAUGACUGGGCGUAAAGAGCUCGUAGGCGGUCUGUCGCGUCGGCUGUGAAAACCCGGGGCUCAACCCCGGGCCUGCAGUCGAUACGGGCAGACUAGAGUGCGGUAGGGGAGACUGGAAUUCCUGGUGUAGCGGUGAAAUGCGCAGAUAUCAGGAGGAACACCGAUGGCGAAGGCAGGUCUCUGGGCCACUACUGACGCUGAGAAGCGAAAGCAUGGGGAGCGAACAGG
rnacentral:rRNA from 1 species